rnacentral:rRNA from 1 species
CUGCUGUAUAUCAGAACUGUGGGGACACAGAGGGAAAGCACAGGCGCGGAACGGAAAGCCGCGUGCAAGCGAGGUACCGGACUGGUAGGAAAAUCCGUCAGUCAACGGGAAGGCGUGAUGCGUACCGAAAUCAAGUAGGGAAGUGUGUGAGCCAGCUGUCAAGAAAAGCCGCUAUUGCGUAUACAGUACCCGUACCGUAAACCGACACAGGUGGAUGAGGAGAGAAUCCUAAGGCCGGCGGAAGAAGUAUUGUCAAGGAACUCGGCAAAAUGACCCUGUAACUUCGGGAGAAAGGGUGCCUCGAAAGAGGCCGCAGAGAAUUGGCCCAAGCAACUGUUUAGCAAAAACACAGGUCUAUGCGAAACCGAAAGGUGAGGUAUAUGGGCUGACGCCUGCCCGGUGCUGGAAGGUUAAGGGGAGAUGUUAGAGCAAUCGAAGCAUUGAACUUAAGCCCCAGUAAACGGCGGCCGUAACAAUAACGGUCCUAAGGUAGCGAAAUUCCUUGUCGGGUAAGUUCCGACCCGCACGAAAGGCGUAAUGAUUUGGGCGCUGCCUCGACAAUACAUCCGGUGAAAUUGAAGUACCAGUGAAGAUGCUGGUUACCCGCGCCAGGACGGAAAGACCCCAUGGAGCUUUACUCCAGCUUGAUACUGGGAUUCGGUAUUGCAUGUACAGGAUAGGUGGGAGGCUAAGAAGCAUGGACGCCAGUCUAUGUGGAGCCGCUGUUGGGAUACCACCCUUGCGGUAUUGGAUUUCUAACCAGCCGCCGUGAAACCGGCGGUGGGACAAUGUCAGGCGGGGAGUUUGACUGGGGCGGUCGCCUCCGAAAGGGUAUCGGAGGCGCCCAAAGGUUCCCUCAGAAUGGUUGGAAACCAUUCGAAGAGUGCAAAGGCAGAAGGGAGCUUGACUGUGACACCGACGGGUGGAGCAGGUACGAAAGUAGGGCUUAGUGAUCCGGUGGUAUUAAGUGGGAAUGCCAUCGCUCAACGGAUAAAAGCUACCCUGGGAUAACAGGCUUAUCACUCCCAAGAGUUCACAUCGACGGAGUGGUUUGGCACCUCGAUGUCGGCUCAUCGCAUCCUGGGGCUGUAGUAGGUCCCAAGGGUUGGGCUGUUCGCCCAUUAAAGCGGUACGCGAGCUGGGUUCAGAACGUCGUGAGACAGUUCGGUCCCUAUCCGGCGUGGGCGCAGGAUAUUUGAGAGGAGCUGUCCUUAGUACGAGAGGACCGGGAUGGACUGACCUCUGGUGCACCGGUUGUUCCGCCAGGAGCAUAGCCGGGUAGCCAAGUCGGGAAGGGAUAAACGCUGAAGGCAUCUAAGCGUGAAGCCCCCCUCAAGAUGAGAUAUCCCAUGCGAAAGCGAUAAGACCCCUUGAAGACGACGAGGUAGAUAGGUCAGAGGUGGAAGCACAGCAAUGUGUGGAGCUGACUGAUACUAAUAGGUCGAAGGCUUAACU